GCACCACAAGAACGCGUGGAGCAUGUGGCUUAAUUUGACUCAACGCGGGAAAUCUUACCGGGUCCGGACACACUGAGGAUUGACAGGCAAUAUCUUGGCUGUUUAAUAACCGUUUAUUAAUAAACGGUUUAUUAAACAGAUCGAGUGUUAAAUAUGCUAGUCCUUUCAUGAUUAUGUGAUAGGUGGUGCAUGGCCGUUCUUAGUUCGUGGAGUGAUCUGUCUGCUUAAUUGCGUUUCACUAAGGGCCCAUAAAUUCAAGGUAUGUUAGCAAUCGUCGCUCUAUGGACCCCUUAUUUCAGUUUAUUAAUAAACUGUUAUAAGCGCGCGUCUUGUUUAAAGAGUUUAAGACACUGCGCAUGCUGUUGGGCUCUGAAAGCAACGAACGUGACCGCAACGUCUUGUUGCCUUAAUCAAGUCGGCUGUUUAAUCUGUUUAAUUAAACAGACAGACAGCAGUCAUUAUAUGGCUUAUCCGAGGCUAUUUAAAACUAGACGAACCGCUGUUUCUUUUCUUAAACCAGAGGAAGGUUGCGGCAAUAACAGGUCUGUGAUG
rnacentral:rRNA from 1 species